UUUAAUAAAACAUUUAUUAUGUAUAUAGUUUCGACCUAUAAAAUGGCAUUACAAUUUGCCUAUUAACU
rnacentral:tRNA from 1 species